rnacentral:tRNA from 1 species
AUCUCCAUAGUUCAAUGGAAGAGCAUUACGUUGACAUCGUAAAGGUUGUUGGUUCGACUCCAACUGGAGAUA